rnacentral:rRNA from 1 species
UACGUAGGGUGCGAGCGUUAAUCGGAAUUACUGGGCGUAAAGUGUGCGCAGGCGGCUCCGCAAGUCGAGUGUGAAAUCCCCGAGCUUAACUUGGGAAUUGCGCUCGAAACUACGGAGCUGGAGUGUGGCAGAGGAAGGUGGAAUUCCACGUGUAGCGGUGAAAUGCGUAGAUAUGUGGAGGAACACCGAUGGCGAAGGCAGCCUUCUGGGCCAACACUGACGCUCAUGCACGAAAGCGUGGGGAGCGAACAGG